AUUGAACGCUGGCGGCAUGCUUUACACAUGCAAGUCGAACGGCAGCGCGGGCUUCGGCCUGGCGGCGAGUGGCGAACGGGUGAGUAAUACAUCGGAACGUGCCCAGUAGUGGGGGAUAGCUCGGCGAAAGCCGGAUUAAUACCGCAUACGACCUGAGGGUGAAAGCGGGGAUCUUCGGACCUCGCGCUAUUGGAGCGGCCGAUGGCAGAUUAGCUAGUUGGUGGGGUAAAGGCCUACCAAGGCGACGAUCUGUAGCUGGUCUGAGAGGACGACCAGCCACACUGGGACUGAGACACGGCCCAGACUCCUACGGGAGGCAGCAGUGGGGAAUUUUGGACAAUGGGCGAAAGCCUGAUCCAGCAAUGCCGCGUGUGUGAUGAAGGCCUUCGGGUUGUAAAGCACUUUUGGCGGGAACGAAAAGGACUGUGCCAAUACCACGGUUCGAGGACGGUACCCGCAGAAUAAGCACCGGCUAACUACGU
rnacentral:rRNA from 1 species